UGCUAUAAUCUUAAAACCAAUAAAAUAAGGUCCCAAGACUAUUUUACUGAGUUUGUCAAAUACACUUGAACUUUAUGUAUAGACAUAAACAGGGAUUAAGUUCAAGUUAAUAGCCCAAAUAGUCUAUAGUGUAUGAAUAAGGUUGGGCUCCUUAUUCUGGAUAAACACUAUGGAUGCGGCCCGCUCCGUAAUUAGUACAAACGAUGUAAUCCUGAAUCGUUCAUGUAGAGACAUGGGAGUGGGGGUGUCCUAUGCAAAUAGUUUGCAUAAGACUGGAACCAUGAAGUAGUCACUUUUAGUUAUAACACCGUAAACUAUAAACUAACUAUUUCAAUUAUGAUGAUCUAGGUAACUUGAUCUUAAUCCUGAGCUAGCUAUGAAAUUUUGUUCAUUCGGUAGUAUCCUUAGAUCUGCAUAGGUGAGGGCAACUCAACAUCGUUGGCCCAAUAAGCCUCUCAUUUCAGGUGUAAGAUGGAAUUCACUCCUACCCACUUCUGAGAUAGUAGAUAGGUUGUUCCCUGAAGGACUGAAUCUAAGUCUUGAACAAAGGGUCUCGCCUUCUCGUUGGACCGAGAAGGAUUCUGGUUUAUAGGUUGGACCUUAAACCAAUUGUUCAAUAGUGGAUUAGUGAGUCUUAAGGAGCAAGAUGUAAUCUUGGGGGUAAAACAGUAUUUUGACCCAGCCCAGAUUACGAACAACCUGUGAAGGAUCAACUUACUCAUCAUGGUUAUAUCAGGUGGACAGAAAUAUAUCUAUAGUGAAGGGAGUGCAAUUAAAAGUCUUUAGUGGAAUGACUCUUUAGUUAACGAAUGUUGAUUAUCCUUGGUCUAAAAGAGUUUAGCUAAUUAAUCUUAAAUUGUUGGAGCCCAUGAUCCAUAGGUCCAUUAGGUUCCCCUACUAGUUCAUAUGGAUUCAACUAAGAACAAGUAUGUUUAAGUAAUUUGAAUUGUUCGAAUAAAGAUAAGAGAGAGAAACCGACAAAUAUAUAAGAUAUAAGUCGGUAGAAAUAAACUUUAAGUUUUGUGUUUAAAUAUGAUUUAAAUAAAUUUGAAUAUAGAUUCAUAUUUAAAAGCUUAAAAAGUUUAGAAACGGUCAAAGUUCUAAAAGUCAACAUGUUGACUUUUAACUUUGAACUUUGAUCGGAUUUAUAUUCAAAUAUGAUUUAAAUUUUAGAGAAAUGAAAAUGGAUUCAUACUCGGGAGGUUAGAAUUAGUCAAGACGGGAAAAUUAGUAAAAAGUCAAAAAGUUGACUUCUGACUAAGAAAAGUCAAAGUUUAACUUUGACUUAAUUGGUCAAAUGACCAAAAUGUCCCUUUUGAUAAUUACUUUAUUAAUUAACGGUUAAUGGAAAAUGUGGCAGAUUAUUGUGAAUUUGAAGCCACUAAUUUCAUUAAAGAGUUGAUGAUUUGAUUAGGUGUUGAUUAUAUAUGAAAUAAUUUAUAUGCAAAUUGCAUGUAUAUUUCAUAUAAAACUUCUCAUUACCGAAUGAGAAAAGGGAUGGUUUUUUCUCUAAUAAAGAACACCUAAACGAUACAUCGCUCCCCAUCUCUCUCUAUAUUUCACUUCACAUAAUCGAGUCCCACAACUGCGUUCUUGGUCCUGAACAUAGUAGGUCAACUUGGUGGUUGUCCUUGCUCGUGAUCUUCAAGCGUAGAAGAAGCUUUGGAUUGAAGAAGAAGCCCAGAACUAUAAAAGGAACUAAAGUUGUCGUGCCUCUUUUUGCUUCCAAAUGCAUCUUCAAAAGGAAUAAUUUGGUGGAGUACAUAAACCGCUCCCGAAAGCUUCGAACCGGCUAGAAAACCACCCAAAACAGCUUGAACCGGCCCAAAACCCCUUAAACCGGCCCAAGAACCAACAGUUGGGCUUGAACCGGCCUAAGCCAACAAGGCAGGCGCACGGGCCGAAAGAACCGGGUUAUACCCGGGUCGGCUACGAGCGGCCGGAUGCGUGCAGCAUGUCAAACUCAUGGGCCGAAUCGAGUUGGGCCUCCAGGCGAAAUGGGCUGCUCGCACUAAACCAAGGCAAGACACGGAUGGCGGGCCGGGUCGGGACGCGGGCGCGCAGGUCGUCAGGUGGAUCAGAAGCGUAGCGCGGACAAGGGCCGGGCGCGCGCUGGGCCGAUGGGCCGCAUGCGAAACGGGCCUGGGGCAGCGAGAGGUUUGGGCAGAAGAAGAGAGGGCAGGCCAGACGCGGGUCGGAGCGGGCGCGCAGGUUCCGGGUCGGCUGCCGGGUCUGGACUCCUUCAACGAUCUCUGAGGGGUAAACGACGGCUGCGGGCGGGUUUUGGGUCGUCCCGACGGGUGCAAAUGCGGGUUUCCGGGUCUGGAGAGGAAUUCCGGUUCUGUCCUCCAAUUUUCUUCAAAAUUUUAACUUUUCUCUCUCCCGGUUGAAGAAAUUACAGCCUAAUUUCAAAUCUAAUGACUCCAAUAAAUUUACAUAAUCUUUACAAAAGAAAAUAAGCCAUUA